rnacentral:rRNA from 1 species
UACACACCGCCCGUCACACCCCGAAAGCCAGCUGUACCAGAAGUCGCCGCGCCAACCGCAAGGAGGCAGGCGCCCACGGUGUGGUUGGUGAUUGGGGUG